UACGGGGGGGGCAAGCGUUGUUCGGAAUUACUGGGCGUAAAGGGCUCGUAGGCGGCCAACUAAGUCGGAUGUGAAAUCCCCAGGCUUAACCUGGGAAUUGCAUCCGAUACUGGAUGGCUUGAAUCCGGGAGAGGGGUGCGGAAUUCCAGGUGUAGCGGUGAAAUGCGUAGAGAUCGGGAGGAACACCAGUGGCGAAGGCGGCUCGCUGGGCCGGACCUGACGCUGAGACGCGAAGGCGUGGGGAGCGAACGGG
rnacentral:rRNA from 1 species